CAAGUUCCCCUUCCCUUAUGCAGGAACAACCAGCUUCAACUCUGUUUGUUAACAGUUCGAUGCCAGCUCCGAUUUCUGCAAUCUUGGCAUCCUUGGAAGCCUUUGCUACUUUGGCAAUGUUCACAACAUCAAAGUCCAUUGCUAGCUU